CAGUCGCCACGGGAAUACGGAGGGUGCAAGCGUUAAUCGGAAUUACUGGGCGUAAAGCGUGCGUAGGCGGUUCGUUAAGUCUGUUGUGAAAGCCCCGGGCUCAACCUGGGAAUGGCAAUGGAUACUGGCGAGCUAGAGUGUGUCAGAGGAUGGUGGAAUUCCCGGUGUAGCGGUGAAAUGCGUAGAGAUCGGGAGGAACAUCAGUGGCGAAGGCGGCCAUCUGGGACAACACUGACGCUGAGGCACGAAAGCGUGGGGAGCAAACAGGAUUAGAUACCCGGGUAGUCCCUGUCUCUUAUAC
rnacentral:rRNA from 1 species